ensembl:misc_RNA Y_RNA Y RNA
GGCUGGUCCAGGUGCAGUGGCGUUUACAGCUAAUUGAUCACAGCCAGUUACAGAUUUCUUUGUUCCUUCCACUCCCACUGCUUCACUUGACUAGCCUAAA